GAUCUUAUGUGGCGCAGUGGUUACUACCUAUGUCUGCCUGCCACGCAGAAGGUUCCGGGUUCAAUUCCCGGUGGGAUCA